ensembl:lncRNA
CAAAGCGCAAGUAGCUUUGUGGGCGGUUCUACGGCGCUAUCGCUAUUUUACAGGUGAAUAAAUGACACUUGCGCUGUGGCGCAAGUGUCAAAAGGGUUGGUCUGAAGCAGCCUAAUUACCCGUAGGUGUGGUUUGGGCGUAACGUGCAAUGAACCAAUCAGAGCGUUUUCUCGCAUCCCCUUUAAGAGCGAUCGGCGCUUGUUCCAUGGCGGAUUGCUAUUAUGAUGGCGGAUUUGCCAGGCGCACGCCAAGAAAGGUUCACAACAGAUGAUGUCCAGAGGAGGGAGAAAAUUAUUUAUUUUUCGGCUAAUUCUCCUUCAAAUCUUUGCAACUUUUCAUUUUUCGUUUUGUAUUAUUAUUUUUCAUUUCAACAUUUGGACAAGUCGAAUAAAAAAUGUCUCAAGGACAUACUAUACUUUCCGAUGUUUUGGGCUCACUUUCUCUGAAUCACAAGGUUAUGAAUGCAUGGUAAUAAUUGUACAAUGUAGCUAAACAAUAGAGCGGAGAUGUCAUUAGUUAGCUUACCUCACUAUAUACGAUGCAGCUCCUCUGACAGAUGAGCUCUCCUCUCCCGUGCUGCUGCUGGGGCAUUUGGACGUAAUGGCAUCGGCACAUGCAGUUCAGCAUCGCGUCUCCUUAAGUCCUCUAAUCGAUCCUCAUUAAUGUCAUCGACACAUCCAUGAUUCAUGGCAAUGUUGUGUAAAACACAACAUGCCACAAAGAAUGCUGCGACUUUUUGAGGACCAUACUGUAAAGUACCACCUGACCUAUCCAAACACCUGAAGCGCAUUUUCAGCAUUCCGAAUGUACGUUCAAUUACACUGCGUGUUUGUGUGUGUUUCCUGUUGAAUACAAUUUCGCGCACUGUUGCUGGCAUAAGAAAUGGGGUCAUGAGCCAUGUCUUCAACGGAUAGCCGUUGUCCCCUAACAGCCACCCAUCCAAGGGAGGAUUCCCCUCGAAUAUGGCAGGAAUGGUCGAGUUUGCCAAUAUGAAAGAGUCAUGGCUUGAGCCAGGGUAAUUAGCAAAGACAUGAUUUAUUCUACAAUUAGCAUCGGAAAUGACUUGGAUAUUAAUCGAAUGAGUUCCGUUACGGUUUAUGUACACGAGUGCGUUUACUGAUGGGGCACGUAGCUGCACAUAGGUGCAGUCUAUAGCACCAAGGACGCCAGGGAACCCAUACUUGGUCCAAAACUCCUGCUUUGUUCUUUCCUGGCUGUCAGGUGUAACAGGGAAUUUGAUGUAUUCCCCAGCAUGUCGGACUAGACCUGACGUAACUGCAUGUAUAGCCGAACUUAUUGCCGACUGUGAAAUGCGUCCAAUAGAACUAAGGGGAUGCUGGAACGACCCAGAUGCAUAGAAAACAGUGCCGCUGUAACUUUCAUUAUUCCCAAAUAAUUUACCAAGAAUGUGGGCUAGGUAGAUGAGAGAAGCAAAGUGUAUGCACGAGGUGCACAAGCAACAUUUUGCAUGCGCCCUUAAAAUAGCAUCUGAACAAUGCGCCACUGACUUUAAAUCAGGUAUUUCCUGGUUUGUGGCGCACUUGUUUUCUGAAACUGCAAAGUAGCACAAGGGAACGUUUGCGCCAGAACACGCCUCCUUCUUUUGCCGAACCGCCCCUUGGGGCGCAAGAUCAUUCCCUAAUUUACCUGCGAGUGGCGGUGGUGGGAAAAGAACGCUCUGCGCCAGUUGAAAGCUAGCAACGACACAUGCGCCAGUGACUAGGUCACUUGCGCUGGAUGCAAGAUAGGGCCCAAAGUGUUUUUGCAACACAAUAUUUCUUACAAUGACACAAAGUCCAAAGUUUUGAUGACUCCAGUAGGAAACUUAAGAUACCUAGAGAAAAGCGUGAGUGCUCACAAAACAUCAACAAGUCAGCAGUGUGGUACAGGGUGAUCAUUUCUGAUAUACAGUACAAAAGCUGAAACUAUUAGCCAGGAGUGGGAAAGAUGUUUGCUUGGUAUGGCGUUAUCUGGUAUGGCUAUAGUCUAAUGUUAGCUUAGUUCGUGUUGUUUCGUCAUGUUAAUCGCUAGUAAUAGUAAGUCAUUUGUAGAAAUAUAGCCUAUCAUCACAGACUGUAGGAAUGUCACCCACCCUCCAUCGCGAACGACACUGACGCUCGUAAUCCGUUAAUCCCUGAGACAAACGGCUACGCGCACACAUGCACACCCAUAGCGAGUGACCAAGAUAGUGAAGUUCAUGAAGAUCAUGGAGCCCCCACUUGGCUAACGUUAGUUCUAUGCUACCCGUAUUUACUAGAUCUUAUUUUGAAACUUCUGUUUGAGAAAAUCGAACUAGCGAAUGUUCCGGAUGUUGACAGCCGUGCGAAGAAGAAGGGGUUUGGUGUUGACGGUGAAAGCUAGGCCCGGUUUAGUUUCCGUUGUCCGGUUAUUACCGGUCAUUGACCGGGACAUUCUAAAUGUCCCCGGUCAGUAUGACCAAUGGAAAUAAUUCUCUGCAAUUUGAAUUGUGUUUAAAUAUGCUACAGUGGUCAUUUGUUUCGCCAAUUCAUGUCAAACAAUGAGGGUUUUGAUUGACCCAACCCGGCCCGCCGAUAUUUCCCACCACUAUCCUUGAGCCGGGUCGGGCUGGGCCUUUGAUCGAGCGUUUGUGUUUUUUUUUAAACGUUCAUUUUGGAGCACAAAAAACGUAUGACGAACACAGAGAUUGUGACAUCCGUCAGCAACACGCAAGCGCUGUGUUCGCUUAUCUACUUAUCGAGUCUUAAAACAAAAUGGCGUCGACGGGUGAUCUACUGAUGGUAUUGUUUGUAUAAUUGUCCUUUUUAAUAAACAAUCUGUACACUCACUAAGUUCUCAAUGCCUCGUUUUAUAUGUUAAGACCCUUAUUAUACUACCAAAGAAGUGUCUGGCUACUUUUAGCCUUUUAAGUGGUUUCAAAUAGCGUUUUUACCAGAGUAAAAAUUAGUUUUUACCAUAACCACUGCCCCCAUCGUUCCAAGUUUAUAGCGUUUUGAUAGAAUCGGCUAAAAACAGCCAACUGAAGAAAGCGUCUAUAUGCGGUUUUUGUGCUCCAAAACGAACGUUUCAACUCGUUAUCAUACAAAGCAUAUUCCAAAUCCAGGAAUUAUUACCCUUUAACCAAACUAAGGACUUGAGGACACGUCUGACAUAGACGCUCCCCAGUUUUAUGCUCUGUGUGUGAAAAGGCAGCUCAGGACAACGUCCGAUGAGAUUUACUGGCCGAAUGUUUAACCUGCAUUAUGUUAUGCAGGGCACAUGCAUGUGUGUGCUAUGUGUGUCUGUAUGCUAUGUGUGUGUAUGCUACGUGUUUGUGUAUGCUAUGUUUGUUUAUGCUACGUAAGUGUGUGCUACUUCAGUGUAUGCUACGUGCAGAGAGAGAGAGAGAGAGAGAGAGAGAGAGAGAGAGAGAGAGAGAGACUACAAGGUGCUAGGGUGCUCUUAACACUUUGGAUAGUGCAGUGUGUGUGUGUGGGGUACUUCCUUUAUGAAUGUGUGAGUAGGCAACUCUCCUUCGCUCUUUUUCUGUGUCCCGUGUCUGUCGGGUGAUGUGCCACCUCUGUGGGUUGUGUGGGUUUGUAUGUGUGUGUGUGCAGUAUUUUGCAGCUUUCCCCUGCUGCAUUUCCAUCAAUCUCUUCGUGCC